UGUGUCUGAAACGCAUAAAUCACAUUAAAACAGAGAACACAGUAUGUGUCACAAAAUUCCAAUGCAAAGUGAAUACCGUAGAAUUAUUCAGAAGCUACUUUUAGGUAGUGUACCUCCCGGUGAGAGAUUGUUUACUGCUAGUAGACAUGCCUCUACAAAACAGGUCAAGAUAGUGUGUCAUCGUGCAGAGAAAAUUGGAUGGUUGUUUUAACAACUUGCCAGAUAUCUAGGCCGUCCAUCAGCCGGUCACCAUUGCCUUUAACUGCAGUGGUGUUUUGAACAAGAAACCUGGACUAGGCUUUUCCCGAUCCGAUAUUUGGAUCGGAUCGGCCGCCGAUACUUGCAAAAAUCAGAUCGGCAGGCACGAGAAAAUGCCAGACUCCCGAUCCAGUUCGCGAUCGCGAUCGCACUAUUUAGAUAAUCAAUUCCAUUUUUGCUGUGUUUUCGCCAGUGAGAGUUAAAUCCGGUCCGGUGAAUUUCACCAGCUCAGCAUUCCAGCGCUCAGAUUUAAAUACAUGGCAGACGGAGCCUGGAGUUUCUCUACAAAUGGAUGAACGCGGGCCAGGAAAGAUGAACUCCGGUCAGACCGGCUGGAGGCAGCAUUAGCUCCCUUUAUGAAGAGUUUUUUUCUUUGAAUUUAAUAAAGUUUUCUAUCUCUUAACAUUAA